AGUGAACGCUGGCGGUAGGCCCAACACAUGCAAGUCGAACGGCAGCACAGGAGAGCUUGCUCUCUGGGUGGCGAGUGGCGGACGGGUGAGGAAUACAUCGGAAUCUACUCUGUCGUGGGGGAUAACGUAGGGAAACUUACGCUAAUACCGCAUACGACCUACGGGUGAAAGCAGGGGACCUUCGGGCCUUGCGCGAUUGAAUGAGCCGAUGUCGGAUUAGCUAGUUGGCGGGGUAAAGGCCCACCAAGGCGACGAUCCGUAGCUGGUCUGAGAGGAUGAUCGGCCACACUGGAACUGAGAAACGGUUCAGACUCCUACGGGAGGCAGCAGUGGGGAAUAUUGGACAAUGGGCGCAAGCCUGAUCCAGCCAUACCGCGUGGGUGAAGAAGGCCUUCGGGUUGUAAAGCCCUUUUGUUGGGAAAGAAAUCCAGCUGGCUAAUACCCGGUUGGGAUGACGGUACCCAAAGAAUAAGCACCGGCUAACUUCGUGCCAGCCGCCGCAGUAA
rnacentral:rRNA from 1 species